rnacentral:rRNA from 1 species
CUCUGUGACUCCUACGGGAGGCAGCAGUGAGGAAUAUUGGUCAAUGGGCGAAAAGCCUGAACCAGCCAUGUCGCGUGCAGGACGACUGCCCUAUGGGUUGUAAACUGCUUUUAUAUGGGAAGAAAUGCGAGUACGUGUACUUGUUUGCCGGUACCAUAUGAAUAAGCAUCGGCUAACUCCGUGCCAGCAGCCGCGGUAAUACGGAGGAUGCGAGCGUUAUCCGGAUUCAUUGGGUUUAAAAGGGUGCGUAGGCGGAAGUGUAAGUCAGGGGUGAAAAGUUUGCAGCUCAAACUGUAAAAAAUUGCCUUUUGAUACUGCAUUUCUUGAGUACAUUUGAGGUAGGCGGAAUGUGUUGUGUAGCGGUGAAAAUGCUUAGAUAUAACACAGAACACCGAUUGCGAAGGCAGCUUACUAAACUGUAACUGACGCUGAUGCACGAAAGCGUGGGGAUCGAACAGGAUUAGAUACCCUGGUAG